CUCUGUGGUUUUCCUGUGAACAAACUCUACAUCUACACAACUUCUCUACUGAAAUAAUCCUCUGGGUGAAGAUAUUCUGUGAAGUCAGACUAACAGUAAGACUCUCUGAAAAAUGACAUUGUUCAUCCCAGAUAUGGCAGCUGGACGUCUGUUUUUGGUCAUCCUCAUUUUCUAUACCUUCCAACAUGUCAAAGCCCAAGACCGUCCUAAGCCCAGUCUGACUCUGAAACAUGCAGUCAUCAGAGAGAGAGAAUCUAUUCAGCUGAUCUGUGAGACUCCAUCUUUAUCUGUGCCUCAGUGUCACUUCAUCAUAGAGGGGAAACAGAAGUCAAAUCCUUUACCUUGUCAGAUCACACUAACAGGAUAUAAGCUGCUUCACUGGGCAGGUCAAAGUUCACCUGUUGAGGUCAAAAUUCAAUGUUUCUACAUGGUGGAGACAUACUUUCCAUCAACACGCAGUGACCCUGUCUCUUUGAGGAUUCUGGAUCACAGAGACCUCCCUCAGCCCAUUCUGACAGUGAAUCCUAAAGUUAUCGGAGAGAGAGACUCAGUUCAGCUGAGCUGUGUGACUCCUCCAUCUCUCUCUGAGUGUCAGUGUGGUUUCUAUGAAGACGGGAGACCUGCUCUUCCAGACACAUCCUGUAAACAGAUGGUCACAGGAACUCAGCUGCUUUCUUGGACAGGUCAAAAAUCACCAGCUGUGGUCCAGGUCACAUGUUACUACAUUGUAGGAAGAUAUCACACAUCUCCUCCCAGUGACCCAGUCAUUGUCACAUUCCAGGACCCUCCUCAGCCCAAUCUGACAGUGAGUCCUUCAGUCAUCAGAGAGAGAGACACCGUUCAGCUGAUCUGUGAGACUCCUCCAUCUGUAUCGGUGUCUCAGUGUAACUUCAUCAUAGAGGGGAAACAGAUCUCAUAUCCUUCACCAUGUCAAAGCACACUAACAGGAUAUAAGCUGCUUCACUGGGCAGGUCAAAAUUCAUCUGUUGAGGUCAAAAUUCAAUGUUUCUACUUGGUGGAAACAUACUAUCCAUCAACACGCAGUGACCCUGUCUCUUUGAGGAUUCUGGGUUUAACCUCUCCUUUCAUACCCAGCAUGGCAAUUAAUCAUACUUCAGGUUCCACAGUUAGUAUUACUUUGACAAGUGACACCCCAAAGAAAACAACUGUAGGUUCAACCACUGCUUCUAGCACCCCAGCAACUUCAUCAGGUUUAACCUCUCCUUUCAUACCCAGCAUGGCAAUUAAUCAUACUUCAGGUUCCACAGUUAGUAUUACUUUGACAAGUGACACCCCAAAGAAAACAACUGUAGGUUUGACUGUUAGUUCGACUUUGACAACUGGCAGCUCUCAGAGUUCAACUGAAAGAGUUCAAAGCUCCACAAUAACUGUUGUGGAUUCAAACCAAGAGAGCAAUUUGG
ensembl:lncRNA